AAGUUGCUAAUUUAAUUAAAAUGUUUGAUUUCGGCUCAAAAACUUGUGGUUAAAGUCCACAGUAACUUU
rnacentral:tRNA from 1 species